rnacentral:rRNA from 1 species
UCUUCGAUUCAGCGGCGGACGGGUGAGUAAYACCUAGGAAUCUGCCUGGUAGUGGGGGACAACGUUUCGAAAGGAACGCUAAUACCGCAUACGUCCUACGGGAGAAAGCAGGGGACCUUCGGGCCUUGCGCUAUCAGAUGAGCCUAGGUCGGAUUAGCUAGUUGGUGAGGUAAUGGCUCACCAAGGCGACGAUCCGUAACUGGUCUGAGAGGAUGAUCAGUCACACUGGAACUGAGACACGGUCCAGACUCCUACGGGAGGCAGCAGUGGGGAAUAUUGGACAAUGGGCGAAAGCCUGAUCCAGCCAUGCCGCGUGUGUGAAGAAGGUCUUCGGAUUGUAAAGCACUUUAAGUUGGGAGGAAGGGUACUUACCUAAUACGUGAGUAUUUUGACGUUACCGACAGAAUAAGCACCGGCUAACUCUGUGCCAGCAGCCGCGGUAAUACAGAGGGUGCAAGCGUUAAUCGGAAUUACUGGGCGUAAAGCGCGCGUAGGUGGUUCGUUAAGUUGGAUGUGAAAUCCCCGGGCUCAACCUGGGAACUGCAUCCAAAACUGGCGAGCUAGAGUAGGGCAGAGGGUGGUGGAAUUUCCUGUGUAGCGGUGAAAUGCGUAGAUAUAGGAAGGAACACCAGUGGCGAAGGCGACCACCUGGGCUCAUACUGACACUGAGGUGCGAAAGCGUGGGGAGCAAACAGGAUUA